UUUUUCGUCUUCCCUGGGUUAUUUCUGCUGGGCGCUACGCGAAGAUGCAGCUCAAGCCGAUGGAGAUCAACCCCGAGGGCGUGGCGCGGGCAGCACAGACUCGGCUGCACGGGCAUCGCGGGCGCCACGUGUGGGCCGCGCUUUGUGCUGUGUCAUUGCGCCGGCCCGGGUGGGGGUGGCAGGGCGGGACUGGGGCUCCUCCCAGGCUCGGGUGCGGGCGCGGAGGGCGCGCGCCUCCUGGCCCCGCCCCCUGACAGGUGCCCACGACCCGCGUGUCCCCGUGCGCCUGGCCGCCUUGUCUCCUCUCCGCAGGUGCUGUCCCGGCUGGGGGUCGCCGGCCAGUGGCGCUUCGUGGACGUGCUGGGGCUGGAAGAGGAGUCUCUGGGCUCGGUGCCAGCGCCUGCCUGCGCGCUGCUGCUGCUGUUUCCCCUCACGGCCCAGGAACUUCAGGAAAAAGCAGAUUGAAGAGCUGAAGGGACAAGAAGUUAGUCCUAAAGUGUACUUCAUGAAGCAGACCAUUGGGAAUUCCUGUGGCACAAUCGGACUUAUUCAUGCAGUGGCCAAUAAUCAAGAUAAACUGGGAUUUGAGGAUGGAUCAGUUCUGAAACAGUUUCUUUCUGAAACAGAGAAAAUGUCCCCUGAAGACAGAGCAAAAUGCUUUGAAAAGAAUGAGGUAAGAGAACUUUCAGAGCAUUGCCUUUAAAUAACUCUAGAGAUUUUUGUGCUAAUUAUUUUCUUUCUUCCGCAGGCCAUACAGGCAGCCCAUGAUGCCGUGGCACAGGAAGGCCAAUGUCGG
rnacentral:sRNA from 1 species